rnacentral:rRNA from 1 species
GAUGAACGCUGGCGGCGUGCCUAAUACAUGCAAGUCGAGCGAACAGAUGAGGAGCUUGCUCCUCUGACGUUAGCGGCGGACGGGUGAGUAACACGUGGAUAACCUACCUAUAAGACUGGGAUAACUUCGGGAAACCGGAGCUAAUACCGGAUAAUAUAUUGAACCGCAUGGUUCAAUAGUGAAAGACGGUUUUGCUGUCACUUAUAGAUGGAUCCGCGCCGCAUUAGCUAGUUGGUAAGGUAACGGCUUACCAAGGCAACGAUGCGUAGCCGACCUGAGAGGGUGAUCGGCCACACUGGAACUGAGAGACGGUCCAGACUCCUACGGGAGGCAGCAGUAGGGAAUCUUCCGCGAUGGGCGAAAGCCUGACGGAGCAACGCCGCGUGAGUGAUGAAGGUCUUCGGAUCGUAAAACUCUGUUAUUAGGGAAGAACAAAUGUGUAAGUAACUAUGCACGUCUUGACGGUACCUAAUCAGAAAGCCACGGCUAACUACGUG